rnacentral:rRNA from 1 species
CACGUAGGGUGCGAGCGUUGUCCGGAAUUAUUGGGCGUAAAGAGCUCGUAGGCGGUGUGUCGCGUCGGCCGUGAAAACCUGCAGCUCAACUGUGGGCUUGCGGUCGAUACGGGCAUCACUGGAGUUCGGCAGGGGAGACUGGAAUUCUUGGUGUAGCGGUGAAAUGCGUAGAUAUCAAGAGGAAUACCGGUGGCGAAGGCGGCAUCCUGGACCGGCAUUGACGCUGAAGCGCGAAAGCUAGGGGAGCAAACGGG